rnacentral:rRNA from 1 species
UACGGGGGGUGCGAGCGUUGUCCGGAAUCACUGGGCGUAAAGGGCGCGUAGGUGGCCUGAUAAGGGUGUGGUGAAAGUCCGGGGCUUAACCCCGGAUCUGCCGUGCCGACUGUUAGGCUAGAGUGCUGUAGGGGCAGGCGGAAUUCCGGGUGUAGCGGUGGAAUGCGUAGAGAUCCGGAGGAAGACCGGUGGCGAAGGCAGCCUCCUGGGCCAAUACUGACGCUCAUGCACGAAAGCGUGGGGAGCAAACAGG